AUAUAUAUUCAUAUACAUAUGAAUAUAUGAAGAAGAUUCUACAUACUCUCAACCCUGACAAAGAACAUCAUUGUCAGAGUCAGUUAUCGGUGUGAGGGAUGAGGUUUCAGCUUCAGGCCAGGCCCAGCUGGGUUGAACUCAGACAUCCAGAGUUCAUCCUUUUACAUCUUGAAACCUGUCACAUCUUGAUAAACCAACAAAGGAGGAUUUAUAGUGCGAGGUAGACGAGAGAGGGCUUGGGAUAUGAGCCAGAAUCAGGGAGCUCUUAAGGAGCAGCAAGAACAAGAAGAGUUCAUUUUGCGAUGAUUUUAGAGAGAAGUGGGAAGUGAGAAUCGUAGUGAUUGGGGCAUCUUCAAUCCUAAAUCCUCCCUCCCUCCCAUUUAUUUUACUAAUAAACCUAUUAGUUUUUACAGUGACUGUUUGGAAGCCUGGUUAGUGCAUUGGCCCAGUGUGGUGAGUCCUAACUGCCUUAUUGUUCUAAAACCGAACUGAAGCAUCAUCCACACACCUCAGUAUUCCCUUAUAUUUCAGUACUGUAAUACGGAAAUUAUAGAGAGAAGCAUAAGAUGGAAAGUUUAAGAAACUGGCAUUGACACAUGGGAAAGAAUUUUGGAGAUAGUAUUCUAGAAGCCAGGGGCUAGAGAAGGAAGGGUCAACUGCUAGCCAACUAUCACUUGGUCCUUGGUCUUGGUCUUGGACUACCACUUUGUUCCUGGUCCUGCCCAAGCAGAGGGAAGAGCUGCUUUGAGGAGCUUUUCCUAUCUCAAGUCCUUGGAGAACAAAGGACAACCCUUCAAUCCUUCUCUGUGGUUCCUGAUCAGCUGGAGAGCAGCGUGGAGCAAAUCUGGUUAUCUCUGCUCCCUAAACCAGAAUACUCAGAGACCACAGCUGGGUCAAUCCCCUAGGUAGAAACCAACAUCUAUCCACCUUUGUCCCCUCAUCACUAACCUGUGUUUUCAGUACCAAGACAGAAAGGCUGUACUGGUGUAGGAGAAUCAUUGGUGCACAAACUCUAGAAUAGACUCAAGUUUCUGGUCCUCUGUUAGAUCUCCUCACUUAAUUUAAGCAAGAAUGGCAUUUUCAUCAAGAAGUGUUAGAGAUGGAGUCAACACUAACGCCUUGUUAGGAAAUGAGGCAUCAAGCAGUUAACCAAAGGUUUACUUAACUCUUUAAUCAAAGACAAUCUCAUCUUCUCGGAUCUUCUAUAGAACAUGAUUUAUUAUUUACAUUUAGAACUUAAUGUCACAUCCAUCUUUGACAAUGGCUACAGUCCUUCAUAUGUGUGAAUGUGUGUGUGUAAAUGUUUUCUAAACUUAAUAUAGCAAUACUUCAAAGUAGUGAAGUAGUAUCAUAAGAAUAAAGUACAAAAGUACAUAUUUAAGUUCUAGACAAAGUAUAAUGAUAUUUGUUUGUAUUGCUCUUAUAUUCUCGGGAGUUUCCUAUAUUCUUUGUGUCCUAAAUUAGCACUUAUAUUGUCUUGCACUGUGACUUUGAGUUAUUCUCAUACAUACCUUAUAUAUGAGGUUGUAAACUUUUUAAAGGCAAGGAAUGUCUUACCCAUCCAUGCAUCUUUUAUAGUUCUUUGUACCUGAGAAGCAUAUGAUCUAAGAGCUAGAACAUGGAGGAACCAGAGCUCAUUUGGCAAAUUCUCUCAUUUUGUUGUUGUUCAGUCAUGGCUGACUCUUUAGGACCCAAUUUAGGAUUUUCCUGCAAAGAUUCUGGAAUCACUAGCCAUUUCCUUCUCCAACUUAUUUUACAGAAGAGGAACUGAGGCAAACAGGGUUAAGUGACUUACCCAGGGUCACAUCACUAGUAUGCGCUCUAAUACCAGAUUUUCACUGUAAUCUUCUUGGCUCUGGGCACAGUACUCUAACCACUGGAAUACCUCAUUUAUAGAUGAUUAAAUUGAAAUCCAUUAGUCCACUUGCCCAAAGUCACACAAGGAAUAAACUUCAAGAUUGGGGCUUAAACCCAGGGCUCUCUUCCUCUCUUUCCACUAUACAGUGCCACCUCCCUUCAGGAUCUUCUCCAGAGCAGGAAUUCAGUUCAUCUGUAAAGAAUUGGGAUACAUGGAAUUAAAAUGGCGGUCUUGAUAGAAAACUCUCCCUACUCCUUCCUCUUGUAACCAGAAUUCACAAAGGAGGUCUUCAGCAGAUGCCAGAGCAUUCCAUAGACAUUUGCUGAACCUGACAAAAGUUCUUAGUGAUUAUUGUACAUUAUUAGUGCUAGUCUCUCAAUACCAUGCCACAUUAGUGGCAAAAUACAAAAGGAUUUUGUAGAAUCUUUCCCAAACACCUGGUCCUAUAAUUUUACAUAUUAUAUUAUAGAAGAAAAACAGGCAAAGUAAAAAAUCUAACCAAUAUCUUGGUGAAUCACUGUAAAGUCCUCACUAUGCUAAGCCACUGGAAUUGAAAAUUAUCCAUUGGUUUUGAAAUUGCUCUUAAGUCUUUCUUUAGAGCAUUAUACAGAAAGGCCUUGGCAGCAGGGUAAGUACCCUAGGCUAAACUGAAUCUUCAUCAUCCACUAAUAUGGCUCUCUCUUUCUCUCUGACAAUGUAAACAUGCAAAAAGGGGGGAAAUGUUGCCACAUCUGUCUCCUCCAGGUGGCACUUGUGCUUUCUUCCCUACUGUUUUCUUCAUUAAUGUUAAUUUAAGCCUUUUAUGAAUUGGCAACAUUUUUACAAAAUUUGGGUAAAUUUCUCCCUUAGAGGAAUCAAUAGGAGUGCAUGUGGACCUGAUUAAAUUUUUAAAAAAUACUUAUACAGGAAGCCUGGUGGCCCCAAAGAUAUUGCACUGUUGCUCUCUUGUUUCCCAGCCUGAUUGUGUAGUAUACUGGCAUGAUUCACCACAUUGUAAACAAAUCUGUAUUCCAAAAAACUUCUUCCAGGAGGAAUUGGUGGAGGUAGCUUAUCUAAAACAAUUGGCUUUAUUCCUUUUAAAACAAACAAAACUCUGCUAGUUAGGCACCCCCCUCUUCACACACACAAAACCCUAAACAUUAUUUUUUCAACCUUGAUAAGCCUUUUUGAAUAAAGAAUAUGAGCAAGUGGAGGUCAAUGUCAAUAUUGAAUCCUAUAAUCAUGCAAUUUUUUUAUAGAAAAUAAAUGCUUUUAAAUAGUAAGAUCAGAGGGGAAAAGGAUAUUCUAUUUUGUCUCUAGCUCCCUAAAUAUGGAUAAUAAUGUUUACCCAUUUUACAACAAAGGAGGUAUUAAUUAAUUACCAUAAAGGGCUAAAAACUUUCUCUAAGGUAUUGUCUUAAUAGAUCCACCCAAUUAGGAAAUCUAAUUCAUAAUAUCAUAGAAUGCCUAGGUUUCACGUAGAGGUUAUUUACCCAAAAUAUUAACAAAAUCCUUUCAAAAAAGUAUUCACAAGUACAUUGUUAUUAAACAGUCUAUAGUGAAACAUUGUUCUUAUGAUAAGAUUGGAAAGAAGGCAAGGAUUGCAUUUUAUUUGCAUUUGUUUUAAGUUUCACUGAAAGAAAACUAUUCUCAUUUUUCCAAG